AUUUAAGAAUUGUAUGUACAUAUAAUGAAGAGUGAUUUUUUCUCAGAGGGGCUCACCCACGUCGUUACAUUACAUUCACUGUCAAAUAAUUUUCAACAAAACGAUCCAGCUACACUGCCCAACAAUUUCUUUCAAUAAAUACAUUCUCUCCUAAUCAAACAAUACCCAACACGACAUAUCUAAAAUUAGUCCUUCCUAUUAAUUAUUGCUUACAUAUAAUUAAAAAUACCUCUUUCGAGUCCAGUACACACCACAAACCUUAACAAAUCUCCCAAACAAACUCCCAAUAAGUUUUUACCUCUCUCCGACCACGUUACACGUCUAAAAAAUUCCCACGACAAUCCAUCACCAUAUAUCAGAACCUCCCAAAAAAACCCAAAAUUCAUGUUGCACCGGGUUCUCUCCAUCCUCAACAUCUCAGAUCCGGCGGUCAUGUCCCCCGUCGUUCGUCUCUUCUUUCUUACGUAUCCGUGUCUUCGCCCAUAAGUCAGUCUCUGUCGCGCGUCCGGCUCGGGCCUCUCUGUCGCACGACAGGUCGGGUUCAGUUGCACCCGCACGGGUUUCGUGGGUGGUCAGGAGAUGCAGGCGGCGAGCUUUCGCGUCCGAUCGUCAGAGGAGCCACCGUCCGGGGCAGCGAGCCAAGAGGGGCCACCGGCUUGCCUCCGCUGCUGGUCGGCGCGCGUGUUUCUCUCCCUUCGGCUUACAGCAUCCGCCGGAGCUUCUCCUCUCUCCGCCUACGCGGUGCGAGUGUGCCGUGUGCGCCAGUGCGCCCGCAAGCCCGCAAGUUCGCGCUCCGCCACGCAACCCAAGCUCUCUCUACCCGCGCGCUGAUCGGCCACGUUCGUCAGCCGGGCCCCAUGUAAAAAGGCAACCCGGGGCCGCGCGCGACCCCGUAAGAACGACUGGACGAUUUGUUAUUUCAAUUUCACGACUAAUAAGCACGUAAAAAAAAGAAAAGAAAAAAAAAUACUGGGUCGGGAACCGGGUGCGAGGGAAUAAACGACGAAAAAAUUUUUUUCAUUUUACAUUCUCCGGUUUCUGUUUUCGCACGGAAACGAAAGUUCGCGGACCACGGUGUGACAAAGGACACUCGAACGCGCGCGUCUCGAUCAAGAAAAGGUGACAGGAGGAGUGAAUUCCACGGAAGCCAGCGCACGUAACCGCGGAGAGCCGGCAGUGACCGUGACGAAGAGGAUUUCACGGACCGCCUUUGAGUGUGCCGUUUUUCUUUUUUUUUUUCUGUGAACACCGUUUACACACCGUCCUCGAACACGACUUCUUGGGAACGACGCGAUCGCAAAGAUUGACGAAUGACGCCGUAGCAGAGAGCUGGUUGGUGCGCGGAUACCGGGACACAAAAGGGGACAGCAUCUUUCGCAUCGCCACGGCAACGUUCAUCACGGAUAAGAAGAAUCGCGCGAACGAAAAUCGAGACGAGGGAGCGAGGGGCA